GUGAGGAAUAUUGGUCAAUGGACGGAAGUCUGAACCAGCCAUGCCGCGUGCAGGAAUAAGGUCCUAUGGAUUGUAAACUGCUUUUAUUCGGGAAUAAACCUCUUUACGUGUAGGGAGCUGAAGGUACCGAAGGAAUAAGCACCGGCUAACUCCGUGCCAGCAGCCGCGGUAAUACGGAGGGUGCAAGCGUUAUCCGGAAUCAUUGGGUUUAAAGGGUCCGCAGGCGGGAUUGUAAGUCAGUGGUGAAAUCCGGCAGCUCAACUGUCGCACUGCCAUUGAUACUGCAGUCCUUGAAUUCGAUUGGAGUGGGCGGAAUAUGUCAUGUAGCGGUGAAAUGCUUAGAUAUGACAUAGAACACCGAUAGCGAAGGCAGCUCACUAAGUCUGAAUUGACGCUCAUGGACGAAAGCGCGGGUAGCAAACAGGAUUAGAUACCCCAGUAGUCC
rnacentral:rRNA from 1 species